CAGUAGCCGCGGUAAUACGAAGGGUGCAAGCGUUAAUCGGAAUUACUGGGCGUAAAGCGCGCGUAGGUGGUUUGGUAAGAUGGAUGUGAAAUCCCCGGGCUCAACCUGGGAACUGCAUCCAUAACUGCUUGACUAGAGUACGGUAGAGGGUGGUGGAAUUUCCUGUGUAGCGGUGAAAUGCGUAGAUAUAGGAAGGAACACCAGUGGCGAAGGCGACCACCUGGACUGAUACUGACACUGAGGUGCGAAAGCGUGGGGAGCAAACAGGAUUAGAUACCCGUGUAGUCCCUGUCUCUUAUAC
rnacentral:rRNA from 1 species